rnacentral:rRNA from 2 species
ACACAUGCAGUCGAACGGUGAAGAGGAGCUUGCUUCUUGGAUCAGUGGCGAACGGGUGAGUAACACGUGAGUAACCUGCCCCAAACUCUGGGAUAAGCACUGGAAACGGUGUCUAAUACCGGAUACGAGCUUCAGCCGCAUGGCUAGGAGUUGGAAAGAAUUUCGGUUUGGGAUGGACUCGCGGCCUAUCAGCUAGUUGGUGAGGUAAUGGCUCACCAAGGCGACGACGGGUAGCCGGCCUGAGAGGGUGACCGGCCACACUGGGACUGAGACACGGCCCAGACUCCUACGGGAGGCAGCAGUGGGGAAUAUUGCACAAUGGGCGCAAGCCUGAUGCAGCAACGCCGCGUGAGGGACGACGGCCUUCGGGUUGUAAACCUCUUUUAGUAGGGAAGAAGCGAAAGUGACGGUACCUGCAGAAAAAGCACCGGCUAACUACGUGCCAGCAGCCGCGGUAAUACGUAGGGUGCAAGCGUUGUCCGGAAUUAUUGGGCGUAAAGAGCUCGUAGGCGGUUUGUCGCGUCUGCUGUGAAAACCCGAGGCUCAACCUCGGGCCUGCAGUGGGUACGGGCAGACUAGAGUGCGGUAGGGGAGAUUGGAAUUCCUGGUGUAGCGGUGGAAUGCGCAGAUAUCAGGAGGAACACCAAUGGCGAAGGCAGAUCUCUGGGCCGUAACUGACGCUGAGGAGCGAAAGCAUGGGGAGCGAACAGGAUUAGAUACCCUGGUAGUCCAUGCCGUAAACGUUGGGAACUAGAUGUGGGGACCAUUCCACGGUCUCCGUGUCGCAGCU